CGAGGGGCCGGUGUGGGCGGAGCAGUCGCCAACCCGGUCAGAUCCGGAAGGAAGCAGCCGUAACGAAUUCGCUUCGGGUCAUGCCGGUCUCUCACCU
rnacentral:SRP_RNA from 4 species